rnacentral:tmRNA from 1 species
GGGGGUGUCAUGGUUUCGACUGGAAAAAGUAGGAUGGCGUGGCGUGUCGGAGAUGGAUGGUUAACUCCGUUAAUAAUCCACCCACUGUCAUGAAAUGGCAAAAACAAAAAGGGAAAACUGGUUAAAGGACUGUUCGGCCGUAAGGCAAGAAUGGCUGCUUAGCUGGUGAGGUUGCCAGGAAUGGUAACCCGUCGUGUCGUUUGACGGUCCGCUAGAAUGACACGGCGUCGGGCAGCGGGCAACGGCGUGGAUGACGCGCUUUCUCCAUGUUUCGAUUAAUGCGCCCGUUUCGUGGAAAUUUGCCGUUGGAAUUCCACGGAAUCAGAUACUAAACAACGACUACGCACGUAGAUGCGCCAUCCGUGGGUUUUUAGGACGUGGGUUCGACUCCCACCACCUCCACCA